rnacentral:rRNA from 1 species
UACGUAGGGGGCAAGCGUUGUCCGGAUUUAUUGGGCGUAAAAGGCUUGUAGGUGGCCACGCCAAGUCGGAUGUGAAAUCUCCCGGCUCAACUGGGAGGGGUCAUUCGAUACUGGCGGGCUCGAAUCCGGAAGAGGUGAGUGGAAUUCCUGGUGUAGCGGUGAAAUGCGCAGAUAUCAGGAGGAACACCAAUGGCGAAGGCAGCUCACUGGGACGGUAUUGACGCUGAGACGCGAAAGCGUGGGGAGCAAACAGG